AAGUGGUGAAAGUGUUAUUGCUUGUCUAGUAUUUUUCUUCUACAGAUGAUUAUGACAAAACUUAUUCCAAACUGAAGUUGGCUGAAUUGUAUUCAGAUAUUCAAAGUGAUGGAGAAGAGGAUUCACUUCAAAAGAGACAAAGGAUACUACCUCGGCGACUAUCAUUUAGUGAUGAUGAAUUAAAUGAAUCUCAACCACUUCGCCCACCACCUAUGAAAAAAGUUCAACAUGAACAAUCAGUAAAUCGUAGAGUUGAUUCGAGCAAAGAAGAUUUAGACAUAACUCAGUCAGUAUAUACCUCAGGUUCAAAAUCUGGCAACAUCCACUACCACACACUCUUGAGGGUCUUCAUUGCAAAGAUCAAUAUUUUUAGGAGAGCCUGCAGAAUAUUCAACAAACCAUAGAAUUGAAGUUUUGGGGCAAAAAGAUUCAGAAAGAUCUCACUCACUAGGUGUUCCAAGUCUAAAAUCUGACCAUCCAAUUUGCGCUUCUUCACAAUCAUUAGGAACCCCUUCAAACAAAUCUAGAUAUAUAAGUGAGCAGCACAUUGCAUUUCAGACUAUUUUGUACCAAAUCAAUCAACUAAAGGAACAAAACAAGUUGAUAAUUUCUCUGUUGAAUAAACGAAUUGAUGAAAAUGUUGUUAAGGCCAGAUUACCUGAUAAUCUACCUAUUCCAUUGCCUAUCAGAAAUCAAAAUGAUUUUACUCUAUUAGAGGAGUAUCUUGAGAAUCCAAAGAACAUUGAUUUAUUGAUUUCAUAUUUUUCUACCAAAGGUGGAAAAGAUAUAACAGCAGCUACUAAUCGAAUAUUAAGAAGUAUUUUCACUGAUGCUGUUGCAAGUAAUUUCAGUUUUUUUGGAAAAAGAUUAGACAAGAAACCUUUCUGUGAUACUAAAACAAAAACUUUGGUAGUUGGACAGUAAAAAUAAUCAGGGAAGGAGGAUUAUGUGAUUGAGGACAUAAUAAAAAUCUGGUUGAAACAUGCUCCACAACGCAUGAAAAACUCAAAAUCCAAGAACAUUUCGGAUAAUUAGAGUUGAGGACGCAGAUAGUAAGGGAAAGCCUUUCCUUUUUGAUGAACACCAGAGGAAAAACAUCUGAUGGUAGCCAUUUGGAAGUAAUUUACUUUUUUGUAAUUCAUUAGGAGUUUAUUGUAUUUAGUAUCUUUGAAAAUUUCAAGUAUUACAAAGAAUGUGUGGGAGCACGUCAAAGGUAUAGACGAGUGGCAAAUGAAGUAAGAAGUACACUUCAAGGUAUUGACAGUCAUACUGUUGAUGAAAAUGAGGCUUCUAAAUCAAAUCCUAGUAAAGCACCUCUCAAUUGGGAAUUGUCUGCAGAAUUAUGUCAGAUUAUCAUCUGAUACUCCUGUAAUCAAUGAAAGGGUUUCUCCGGAGAAUGACAUCAAUUCUGUAUUAAAGCAGUGGGCACUGCAAAAUAAAGUACCACAUUCUGUAUAAAAUGAUCUGCUUAUCUUGCUAUCUCCAUUUCAUCCAAGUCUACCAUUAAAUUCAAGAACUCUUCUGAAGACUCCAAGAAGUCCUAUCGGUUUCAAAAAAUUGGAUAAUGGUCAUCUAUGUUAUUUUGGACUUGAACAAUAUUUGACACGUUUUCUGUCCACUUCAAAAUUGAAUGGUGAUACAGUUAGGCUUUCUUCAAAUAUCGAUGAAUUACCUUUAUAUCAUAAUUCUGCUGUACAGUUUUGGCCAAUUUUAGGGCUCAUUAAAAAUGAUGGUGUGGUAAUCAGUCCAUUUGCGAAAUCCAUUUUCUGUGGCACAACAAAACCAUCUCCACUGUCUUCCUUCUUUGAAGAUUUUAUAAAUGAACUCAAGCAUUUGAUGAAUAAUGGCUUAGUUCAUAACAACAAAAAUUAUAAAAUUGAAAUUCAAAAUUUUAUCUGUGAUGCUCCAGCUCGAACUUUUAUCAAUUGUGUUAAAACUCACAGUGGAUAUUCUGCAUGCGAUUGUGUGUGUUGAGGAAGGUGAUUACAUCAAUGGAAGAGUGAUAAUAUAUAGAUGGACUUCAGCCCAAAAACGAAUGGAUGAGUCAUUUUUAUCAUAGCAGGAUCAAGAACAUCACACAGGUUUAUCACCUGUAUCAGCUUUGGAUGUUGGUUUAGUCAGUCUUUUUCCUAUCGACUAUAUGCAUUGUGUAUGUCUUGGUUUUAUGAAGAAACAUCUUCUGUCUUGGAUUAAAAGAAAUUUGAAAGUGAGAUUGAACAGCAGGCUAGUUACAACUAUUUCUAAUCAUUUGAUUGAUAUGAACAUUUCUAUUCCAAGUUAUUUCAACAGGAGGCCCAGAUCCUUAAAUGAGUUAGCACGCUGGAAAGCUGUAUUCGGGUCCAGUGGUACUCAAAGAUAUUGUUGAUGAAGCUGUGUAUGAGCAUUUUAUUUUCUUUCACUGUGGCAUUUCAAUUUCAGCUUCUGCUAGAAAUAUUUCGACUAUUGGGAUUGAAUUGGCCAGAGAAAUGUUGAAUAUAUUUGUUACUCACUCUGAGCAAAUAUUUGGUCGGGAAUUUCUGGUAUAUAAUGUACAAAUUGUCUCCCACUCAACUGAUGAUGUGAACAAAUUUGGGCCUUUAGAUACCUUUUCUGCCUUUCCAUUUGAGAAUGUUUUAGGACAGAUUAAAAAAUUGAUUCGUUUUUCUAGAAAACCAAUAGAACAGAUUUAUUGUCGCUUGAAGAAGUUCUCCCUAGAAAAUAAAUCGGCACGCAAUAAUUUGCUUGAUAAAACUAAUCUUUCUUUAGAACAUUUUAAUGGACCAGUCAUCAAUGCGAUUGACUUCAAAAGGCAGUUCAAAAACAUUUCAUACAGGGGAAUGCAUUUUUCUGUAAUAUCACAUUCAGAAUCAAAUGCAUGUCUUAUGAAAAAUAAUCACGUUUUUCGAAUUCACAAUGUAAUUGUUACUUCUCAGAGGUCUACUUUUUUGAUAGGCAAACAUUUCACAUGUUAUAGGAAACUUUAUUCUUAUCCAAUAUCGUCAAAACGGUUACAUAUAUACCUCAUAGAUGUCUAAUCAGACUUGGAAAUGUGGAGUGUUGAUAACAUACUAACAAAAUGUUUGGUUUUAUCUUUUAAUGAUGGAAAUUCUGUGGUGUC
rnacentral:lncRNA from 1 species